UACGGGGGGGGGCAAGCGUUGUUCGGAAUUACUGGGCGUAAAGGGCUCGUAGGCGGCCAACUAAGUCGGACGUGAAAUCCCUCGGCUUAACCGGGGAACUACGUCUGAUACUGGAUGGCUUGGAUCCGGAAGAGGGAUGCGGAAUUCCAGGUGUAGCGGUGAAAUGCGUAGAUAUCUGGAGGAACACCGGUGGCGAAGGCGGCAUCCUGGGCCGGUAUUGACGCUGAGGAGCGAAAGCCAGGGGAGCAAACGGG
rnacentral:rRNA from 1 species